rnacentral:tRNA from 1 species
UUUGUCUAGUGGUAGGACGACAGACUCUGGAUCUGUAAGCAUAGGUUCGAAUCCUAUAU